rnacentral:rRNA from 1 species
AGAGCGAACGCUGGCGGCAGGCCUAAUACAUGCAAGUCGAACGGACCCUUCGGGGUUAGUGGCGGACGGGUGAGUAACACGUGGGAACGUGCCCUUUGGUUCGGAACAACUCAGGGAAACUUGAGCUAAUACCGAAUGUGCCCUUCGGGGGAAAGAUUUAUCGCCAUUGGAGCGGCCCGCGUCUGAUUAGCUAGUUGGUGAGGUAAAGGCUCACCAAGGCGACGAUCAGUAGCUGGUCUGAGAGGAUGAUCAGCCACACUGGGACUGAGACACGGCCCAGACUCCUACGGGAGGCAGCAGUAGGGAAUCUUGCGCAAUGGGCGAAAGCCUGACGCAGCCAUGCCGCGUGAAUGAUGAAGGUCUUAGGAUUGUAAAAUUCUUUCAGCGGGGACGAUAAUGACGGUACCCGCAGAAGAAGCCCGGCUAACUCGUGCCAGCAGCCGC